rnacentral:rRNA from 1 species
UACGGAGGAUGCAAGCGUUGUCCGGAUUCAUUGGGUUUAAAGGGUGCGUAGGCGGAGAAUUAAGUCAGUGGUGAAAGCUCGCAGCUUAACUGUGAAAAUGCCAUUGAAACUGAUUUUCUUGAGUUCGAUUGAGGUAGAUGGAAUGUAUCAUGUAGCGGUGAAAUGCUUAGAUAUGAUACAGAACACCAAUUGCGAAGGCAGUCUACUAAGUCGAUACUGGACGCUGAGGCACGAAAGCAUGGGGAGCAAACAGG